AAGUCAUGUUGAAGACAAUUUCUACGAAGACAUUUGUACCUCUCCCACGCUUCGUAUAAGGACUCUCCCAUCUUUUGUUCGAAAUUGGCUAUAUUCUUCUUCAAUUU